rnacentral:rRNA from 1 species
GGGAGGCAGCAGUGAGGAAUAUUGGUCAAUGGGCGAGAGCCUGAACCAGCCAAGUAGCGUGAAGGAUGACUGCCUAUGGGUUGUAAACUUCUUUUAUAAAGGAAUAAGUCGGGUAUGCAUACCCGUUUGCAUGUACUUUAUGAAUAAGGAUCGGCUAACUCCGUGCCAGCAGCCGCGGUAAUACGGAGGAUCCGAGCGUUAUCCGGAUUUAUUGGGUUUAAAGGGAGCGUAGAUGGAUGUUUAAGUCAGUUGUGAAAGUUUGCGGCUCAACCGUAAAAUUGCAGUUGAUACUGGAUAUCUUGAGUGCAGUUGAGGCAGGCGGAAUUCGUGGUGUAGCGGUGAAAUGC